GUGUCUGUCAGCCAGUUUCCCAGCCCCUGGUGCACUGAAGCUCAGGCCUUUCCUGGCAUCCUGGCCUCCUGCACUGAGCUGUGUGAGUGCUUCUGCCCAGGCAGGCCACUUGGCAUUGACCGGUAUAGAUGGUGACCCUGAAGAAAGACUUCAGUUGGGCCUGAAGGCCCCGGGCCAGUGUCCAUCAUCCAGGUGCUCAGCUCCCAGUGCACUGAAGCUCAGACCCUUCCUGGUUCCCUGGUCUCUUGCACUGAGCUCUGAUGGUGAGACUUGAGGAAGACUUCCACUGGGCCUGCUUUUCCUGAGCCAGUGCCCAUCACCCAGGUGCUCAGUCCCUGGUGCACUGAAGCUCCAGCCCUUCCUGGCGCCCUGGUCUCCUGAACUGAGCUGUGUGAGCUCUUCUGCCAAGCGGUUCCCCUGGCAUUGACCAACAUAGAUGGUGAGCCUGGAGGAAGACUUGCGUUGGGCCCAAAGGCCCUAGACCAGUGUCUGUCAGCCAGGUUCCCAACCCCCGAUGCGCUGAAGCUCAAGCCUUUCCUGGCACCCUGGUCUCCUGCACUGAGCUGUGUGAGCUCUUCUGCCCAGGCGGGCCCCCUGGAAUUGAUGGGUAUAGAUGGUGACCCCGGAGGAAAAUUUGUGUUGGGCCCACUAUCCCUGGGCCAAUGUCAGUCAGCUAGGCACCCAGCCCCCAGUGCGCUGAAGCUCAGGACCUUCCUAGUGCCCUCGGCUCCUGCACUGAGCUCUGAUGGUAAGCCUGGAGGAAGACUUGUGUUGGGCCCACAGGCCCCAGGCCAAUGUCUGUCAGCCAGGUGCUCAGCCUCUGGUGCGCUGAAACUCUGACCCUUCCUGGCACACUGGUCUCCUGCACUGAGCUGGGAUUUUCCACCUAGGAGGUCCACCUGGCAUUGACUGACAUAGAUGGUGAGACUUCUGUCGGCCUCGCUUUUCCUGGGCCAGUGUCCAUCAGCCAGGUGCUCAGCCCCAGUGCACUGAAGCUCCAGCCCUUCCUGGCGCCCUGGACUGAGCUGUGUGAGCUCUUCUGCCAAGGGGGUCCUCCUGGCAUUGACCAACAUAGGUGGUGAGCCUGGAGGAAGACUUGCAUUGGGCCCAAUGGCCCUGGACCAGUGUCUGUCAGCCAGGUUCCCAGCCCCCGAUGCGCUGAAGCUCAAGCCUUUCCUGGCACCCUGGUCUCCUGCACUGAGCUGUGUGAGCUCUUCGGCCCAAGUGGUCCCCCCGGCCUUAAGCGGCAUAGAUGGUGAGCCUGGAGGAAGACUCGUGUUGGGCCCACAGGCCCCAGGCCAGUGUACGUCAGCCAGGUGCUCAGCCCAUGGUGUGCUGAAGCUCUGACCCUUCCUGACUCCGUGGUCUCCUGCACUGAGCUGUGAUGACCAUAUCCAGUGAGCUCUUCCAAACAGGUGGGCUCCCUAGCAUUGACCGACAGAGUGAGCUCUGCCACCCAGGACAUCCCCCUGGCAUUGACUGGCAUAGAUGCUGACCCUGGAGGAAGACUUGUGUCGGGCCCCCAGGCCCCAGGCCAGUGUCCAUCAGCCAGGUGCUCAGCUCCCAGUGCGCUGAAGCUCAGACCCUUCCUGGCACCCUGGUGUCCAGCACUGAGCUGUGUGAGCUUUUCCACCCAGGUGGGCCCCCUGGCAUUGACCGACAUAGAUGAUGAGACUGGAGGAAGACUUCCAUUGGGCCCACUUUUCCUGGGCCAGUGUCCAUCAGCCAGGUGCUCAGCCCCUGGUGUACUGAAGCUCCAGCCUUUCCUGGUGCCCCAGUCUUCUGCACUAAGCUGUGUGAGCUCUUCCACCCAGGAGGGCCCCUUGGCAUUGACUGGCAUAGAUGGUGAGACGGGAGGAAGACUUGUGUUGGGCCUGCUGUUCCUGGGCCAGUGGCCAUCAGCCUGUUGCCCAGCCCCUGAGGCGCUGAAGCUCAGGCCCUUCCUCACACCCUGGUCUCCUGCACUAGCUGUGUGAGCUCUUCUGCCCAGGUGGGGCCCAUGGCCUUACACGACAUAGGAGCACGCAUUUCUUGAAGUCCUGCAAAGGUGAUGGUGGUCCAGACAGGAGAGGGUUCCUUCAGCCCAACAUAGCGCAGCUCCCAGCUGAAACUCGGAAGGCUGGUCAGGCCUCGAGGACUGCCCAGGCCACAUGAGGGUUUGGUGGCCGGGAGGGCCAAUGAUGCUCUGCGUCUGUGUUGGAUCAGUGUUCUUCAUGGAUUCCAUCACAUGGUGAGCCUUGAGGAAGACUUGUAUUGGGCCCCCACAGGCCCCAGGCCAGUGUCCGUCAGCCUGGUGCUCACCCCCAGUGUGCUGAAGCUCAGACCCUCCGUGGCACCCUGGUCUCCUGCACUGAGCUGUGUGAACUUUUCCUCCCAGAUGGGCCCCCUGGCAUUGACUGGCAUAGAUGGUGAGACCGGAGGAAGACUUGCAUUGGGCCUGUUGUUCCUGGGCCAGUGGCCAUCAGCCUGUUGCCCAGCCCCUGAUGCGCUGAAGCUCGGGCCCUUCCUCGCGCCCUGGUCUCCUGCACUGAGCUGUGUGAGCUCUUCUGCCCAGGUGAGGCCCAUGGCCUUAAGCGGCAUAGAUGGUGAGCCUGGAGGAAGACUUGUAUUGGGACCCUACAGGCCCCAGGCCAGUGUCUGUCAGCCUGGUGCUCAUCCCCCAGUGCGCUGAAGCUCAGACCCUCCCUGGCACCCUGGUCUCCUGCACUGAGCUGUGAUGGUGAGUCUGGAGGAAGACUUGUGUUGGACCCCCACAGGCCCCAGGCCAGUGUCCAUCAGCCUGGUGCUAAUCCCCCAGUGCUCUGGAGUUUGGACCCUCCCUGGCACCCUGGUCUCCUGCACUGAGCUGUGUGAGCUCUUCCACCCGGGCGGGCCCCCGGCAUUGACUGGCAUAGGUGGUGAGCCCGGAGGAGGACUUGCGUUCGGCCCGCUGGUCCCAGUGUGUCCGGAAUUGGUGGGUUCUUGGUCUCACUGACUUCAAGAAUGAAGCUGCGGACCCUCGCUAUGAUGAUAUGGAAGAAAAGCACUCUUUGGCCUGUUGUGACUGGGACAGUUGACAGCACCCAGGUGUCCUUUAAUGAAAAUGCUCUUGACACCAAUGCAUCCUAGCAUCACAGCUUCAGGAAGCCUUCUCAAGUGUGCAUGGGGAGUACUAUGUCUUUCAUCAAUAAUGAAAUCUUCUGAUUUGUAAGACAUGCUGCCAAGAGAUGUGCCAUUCUAUUAUAAAAGAUCAGUAGCUUCCUUUACCGACGUGUAUAUUCUAUCUAGAACAUUGAGCUAUGGAAGACUCCCACCUAAGGGAAUUAGUUUUACACCUUCAGAUAAAGACUGCUGAGAAGAGCACCCUCUGGUGUUGUCACAGAGGCAAGUGCUACCGCACAGGCAUGCUGCAGUGAAUUUAACUGAUCCUCUGUCCCUGCAACCGUUGUUUAAGGAUGCUAUUCUGAAAAGACUGUGGAGGAAGAAAACCCUUUACCCUGUUGUUCAGGGAGAAACUGACACCACUCAACUGCCUGGCACUGAAAAUGUGGCAUCCAGUCCACUUUACCAUCAGUGUUUAAGGAAACCAUCUCUGAUAAGGAUGACUGAGGAAGAGUACUCUUUGGCUUGUUGACACCAGCACAGCUGACACACCCAGAUAUCUGUUUGGUCUCCUGUGAACUUUCAACCAGGAUUUAAGGAUGCCACUCUGGUUAAAAGCUGAAACAACUUCAAGGAAACUUCAGGGAAAAGAGAAGGCCUGGAAUCUGAUCCUCCACUUCAGAGAACAGGGGUGAGUAGCUAAGCCAUUAUCUUUUGAAAUUCAUAUGUCAUGUGCUCUUUGCUAGGUCUUUAGGUCGUUUUGUACAUCUUUUCAGAAGCUUAUUGGAGGACAUUUUCAUGAUAUGUCCUUUUCCUCAUUGAGACCCUCACCAUGUCACCUACACUAUUGAAUCCUUAUCAUUUCUCUUUUAAUUUUAACUCUCUUUUGCUUUUAUGGAAAAAUGUAGAAUUUAAGAGAAUUUUUGGCAAUUUCAUAUUGGAUCAAAAUGUAUUGUAGUGAAAUCCAGGUGUGCCAAAAUAUUAACAGAUUUUCCCCAUCUGUUUAAUUAUUGGGGUUUCAGAAUAGAGACUCCAUGGUUCAUAAUAUCUUUGUGGUCAUACUACAUUAUAUUUCUGCUUCUAAUUUAAUUAUUAAAUAUUGACUUGAAUUAGUCUUUUCCUCAUUGUUGCAACAAGGUAAGUUAUAUAGGAAAUUUUCUUCUCUUGAUGGCAUGUCUGAGAUAAUCAUAGAUAUAAGACACCUGGCUGGUUUCUAGAAUGCAUGUAAUUUUUAUUUCUUGAUCUGUGUGUUGAGUACUUGCUGUGAUUGCAUCAUGCAAAUACAUUGAGCUUUACAAUUUUAGUGUAUGCACUUUUCUACAUGUAUAUUAUUCUUCGAUAGAAAGUAAAAAAAACUUAUCGAACUAGUCAAAAUAUUGGUUAAUACAUAAAAAAAGUCUCAAGUAGAUUGUGUAUUACAUGGUGCUUGUUGAUUGAUGCCCUCAUAAUAGAUCAAGUGGGUUCUCUCUUUAGCACAGGGCUUUUUAGCAAAUCAUGUCAUGAGUAGUUACUCAAGUAUUUUUAUUUUAACACAUUUAUAUUUUUUCUAUGUAUAUUCUUAAAUUCUCUUAUACUUUUUUCUCUGUUAUAAAAACAUGCUGAACAAUCUCAAGUCUUAAGGAUUGCAGUAUUGUCCCCACAUAUUCAUGUAUUUUGGUACUCAAUUCUUUAUACUUUCUUUGACAGAUCACUUGAACUGGCACAUGUCUCUUGUUUUGCAGAGAGGGAAUUAAUGUGAUACCUUCAUGCUUUUCUAUUCUAUGUGCUACAUAAUUGAAUAUACAAGCAAAUA
rnacentral:lncRNA from 1 species